UACGUAGGGUGCAAGCGUUGUUCGGAAUCAUUGGGCGUAAAGCGCGUGUAGGUGGUUUGCUAAGUCGGGUGUGAAAUCCCUGGGCUCAACCCAGGAAGUGCAUUCGAAACUGGCUGGCUAGAAGAUGGUAGAGGAAGGUGGAAUUCCAAGUGUAGAGGUGAAAUUCGUAGAUAUUUGGAGGAAUACCAGCGGCGAAGGCGGCCUUCUGGACCAUUCUUGACACUGAGACGCGAAAGCGUGGGUAGCAAACAGG
rnacentral:rRNA from 1 species